ensembl:lncRNA
AGAGAUUGUUAGGACGUGUACCACGAGUCAUCAUCUACUGUCCAGAGAAAUGCAACCAAACAUGAAUGCUGAUGAACUGGCUGGGCAGCCACAGCACAAGGUCAGAGAGUUUGUCCAUGGAUCACGGCCACCAAUCAUGGAGUCUCUCGAGCAACUGAGUGGCAGACCAAAUGGCCAAUCAGCUUUCGGAGAGGAGUCCUCCCUCCCUCUGCUGUGUUUGUCUCUCUGUCUCCCCCGGUCCACCGGGCUGCUCCCUGCCCCUCCCCAGGCAGAGACCACCAUGCUGGGCAGAGAGCAGAGGUGUUCAGCUGCACUCAUCCUCCUCACUGCAACCUCUCCAAACCUCGAACACACAGGAGAAGGGCGAGAGAGGAAGAGAGAGAGAGAGAAGGAGAGCGAGCGAGUGAGAGACUGAGAGAGAGGAAGAAAGAAAGUGAGAGAGGGAGAGCUGGUAAGAAAUGGAGGGAUAAGAGGUAGAUGAUGAGUGAUAGAGGGAAAGCAGGUGGAUGACAGGAGGCUUUGAUUGGUUCACUACAUGAAAGAGAGAGUGUGUGCCGCCUGACAGCACAGGCCGAUAGGAGAGAGUGGAGAUGAGUGCAACUUAAAACACACUAGUCAGAUCCACACACUCCCCCUCUCUCUCUCUC